rnacentral:rRNA from 1 species
GACAGAGGGUGCAAACGUUGUUCGGAAUUACUGGGCGUAAAGCGCGUGUAGGCGGCCCUGUAAGUCGGAUGUGAAAUCCCACGGCUCAACCGUGGAAGUGCAUUCGAAACUACAGGGCUAGAGUCCUGGAGAGGAAGGUGGAAUGCUUGGUGUAGAGGUGAAAUUCGUAGAUAUCAAGCGGAACACCGGUGGCGAAGGCGG